CAUUAACUGCCGGCAGUGUCACGCCAGCUCUGUUUGUAGCGAGGUGCAAUUACAAUCAUUUCUACUGUGUGGGCGAGAGGCUCUUGUUCUUGGAGAACAUGCUGGUGCGACGGCUGGAAGACUGCUCGGAGUGUCGACGGCACGCGCCGCGCACCCACGUGCACAUGCGUGUGCAGCAGCUGUUCAAAAUUAAAGCACACGGGGCAAACGAGCAUGCGGCUCACCUGAUGGUAAGUGACUACCGCCGCCCAUGAUCACCCACAACACAAAAGGCAUUGCAGGUGUGCUGCCGGCCUUUUAAAAAGGAAUAUGCUCUUUUCUUGAAGGUUAUGAUGUCGUAUCGAUUCGGAAAUACUGCUGCUGGAAGUUGAUUCCAAAGAGUGGUUGUGCGUGGGAGAAAGCAAGCCAGAUAUUUUGAUUUAAAAACCGAACCGAUAAUAAACCUCAUAAUUCAUUUUCUCUCUCAAUUUUCGAAUUAAGUUUUGAAAAAAAAAAACAUUUGUAAAUGUAAACUAUGUUGCUAUGGGAAUAAAGCAUA